UCACCCCAUGCUGAGCAUUCUUUGAGGAGCAACCCCAAAUGAUGGACUCAGCCUCCUUCACCCCAACCCAAGAGCCUGCAAGGCUCAGGUCAACAAGACUCAGCAUCCAAAUUGCUGAAAGCAGGAGAGGUGGCACUUUUUCGGUCUUGGAAGCAGAAUAGUCUGUUGUGUGGAGAAUUAGUUAAAUACCAGUAAAUAAACACUGUUAUAGCCAUCAGCUAAGCCUACAAAGGCGGGACUCUGCUUGGAGCACCCCUGUUUGUCCUGUGCUGCAACACCUCUGGCAGAAGAUGAACCCUGUAGGAAGGGGCACGGUAGAGAUGUCACAGCUGGACUGUGCCAGAGUCUGAGGCAAGUCCCAGUGAGAGUCACUGAGUGUAUGGAUGGUUUGUGUCAACGCCUUCAGCUUUGUACCAACACCUUCCCUGCAAAAAGAUUAAAGGUUUUGGGAAGAAUGAACUUGAACAUCAUGAAGCAAAGCUAAAUAAAUCAACACAGGGGUCUCACCACAGUCACCUACACAACAAAGUCCCCUGUAUGUGGUGGAAGAA